rnacentral:rRNA from 1 species
UACAGAGGGUGCGAGCGUUAACCGGAAUUACUGGGCGUAAAGCGCGCGUAGGCGGCUUUGCAAGUCGGGUGUGAAAUCCCCAGGCUUAACCUGGGAACUGCAUUCGAGACUGCAUUGCUAGAGUAUGGGAGAGGGAAGUGGAAUUUCCGGUGUAGCGGUGAAAUGCGUAGAUAUCGGGAGGAACACCAGUGGCGAAGGCGACUUCCUGGCCUGUUCUUGACGCUGAGGCGCGAAAGCUAGGGUAGCAAACGGG